UACAUGGGGUGCAAACGUUGCUCGGAAUCAUUGGGCGUAAAGCGCGCGUAGGCGGUUACUUAAGUUGGAUGUGAAAGCCCUCGGCUUAACUGAGGAAGUGCAUCCAAAACUGGCUGUCUUGAGUGUGAGAGAGGUGUGUGGAACUCCGAGUGUAGAGGUGAAAUUCGUAGAUAUUCGGAAGAACACCAGUGGCGAAGGCGACUUACUGGACACAUAUUGACGCUGAGGAGCGAAAGCGUGUGGAGCGAACAGG
rnacentral:rRNA from 1 species